AACCUCCGCAAUGUGAGAAAUCGCGACGGGGGGAUCCCAAGUGCCAUUCUUAACGGGAUGGCUUUUCAUUAGUGUAAAGAGCUUUUGGAAUAAGAGCUGGGCAAGACCGGUGCCAGCCGCCGCGGUAACACCGGCAGCUCUAGUGGUAACAAUUUUUAUUGGGCCUAAAGCGUCCGUAGCCGGUUUAAUAAGUCUCUGGUGAAAUCCUGUAGCUUAACUGUGGGAAUUGCUGGAGAUACUAUUAGACUUGAGACCGGGAGAGGUUAGAGGUACUCCCAGGGUAGAGGUGAAAUUCUGUAAUCCUGGGAGGACCGCCUGUUGCGAAGGCGUCUAACUGGAACGGUUCUGACGGUGAGGGACGAAAGUUAGGGGCGCGAAACCGGAUUAGAUACCCGGGUAGUCCUAACUGUAAACGAUGCGGACUUGGUGUUGGGUGGCUUUGAGCUGCUCCAGUGCCGAAGGGAAGCUGUUAAGUCCGCCGCCUGGGAAGCACGGUCGCAAGACUGAAACUUAAAGGAAUU
rnacentral:rRNA from 1 species